GGUGAACUCAGCUGUCUCAGAUUAUGGGUGAAAGAAACAUAUGACAGGACUUUUACAUAAUAAUAAUAAUAAUAAUAAUAUUGUUUUUCCCUUACGAAAAUUAACUUUUUUGUAAUAGUUGUUGUUGUCUGCCCUAACUCCCUCUAAACCUAUUAUACAAUUAUGUGAAUUUGUCUAAUUACUACUGUAACAUUUAUAAUGAUAAUGUAACAUAAUAAUGAUGUCCUUUAGCAUACAGUGUUUUGAGUGAUGAGUAGUGUGCUGCUGCUAACAGGUGCUGGCAGUUUAAUACUUGGCGAAGUCAAAACAAUAACAGGUCAACGGGCCAAAUCGGCUGCAAGUCGGAGUUCUCCCGUUUCUCUCGAUUGCCAGACCGCGUCUGUUUGAGCAGCUUUGUGCCAUGUCGAAAGUGAAAGUUUAGAGGUUCAGUAUUUAGACUCUUGUGAGCAGCAGAGAGAGUCAGAGAGGAGUGAACUCAGACUGUGAAGACACGCAGAGCUCGGGUGAUCAAUAACUCUCUCUGAAUGGGAAAUAAUCUCCUUUAAUAAUUCAUAACCAACUACGGGCAAAUCUUCAAAAUCAACCAUGAAUGCUGUAAUUGCUGUGCAGCUGUUCAUUCUGGUUUGGAUCUUUACUGCUGUCUGUCAAGCUGAUAAAGAUAUCAUUGUAAGCUGUGAGAAUGUGACUGGAUUUGUGGGGAAAGAAGUAAUUCUCAACUGCAGCGUCUCUCUGCAGAACACUGAAUGCUGCAUUACAAAGUAUAAGUUUCAAUACCCUGAGAUCUUUAAUGACUCCGCAAUCUGUCGUCGAGAUGUUCCUGUGAACUCCUGUGAACAGAGAAACAGUUUCACAUGCAGCUACACUCCAACUACAGCGAUGACAAAACAAUUCAGAUUCUUUGUGCAAACAAAUUGUGGAGUGGGAAAAGCUGAAAUCUUCACUCUUGAAGCAGGUACUGCAUACUGUUACAUUUUUGCUUAUAAUUUAGUAAAUCUUUGCAAAUGUACAUUUAUGUUCAUUCUACUAACAGUGGUUUUAAACCUGUUAACAAAGACCAUUAAACCUGAAAAUAAUAGUAAAACUCUUGGUAAGAAAGUUAAUAUAUUCUAAUACAAUUAUUGAUUAUUUCUUCAGUUUCAUCAAGACGUGAACAGACAACAUCAGGAACCUCUCCACCAGAGACAGCAUCAGUAUCCUCUCCACCAGAGACAGCAGGUCUUGGAUCCAAGGAGACUGUCUUCACUGUGGUUGUGGUUGGUUUCAUCAUCAUCCUCAUCAUGACGGCGAUCAUUUGCAGAACAAAACCAAACUUCACCAAACUUUGCAGAGGCCAGAACUGGAU
ensembl:lncRNA